rnacentral:rRNA from 1 species
AGAGUUUGAUCCUGGCUCAGGAUGAACGCUGGCGGCGUGCUUAAUACAUGCAAGUCGAACGGAGAAUGUAGCAAUACAUUCUUAGUGGCGAACGGGUGAGUAACGCGUUGGUGACCUGCCUCGAAGAGAGGGAUAACAGUCCGAAAGGAUUGCUAAUACCUCAUAUGGUUAUAGGGUUUAGAAGCCUGUAACUAAAGGAGUAAUUCACUUCGAGAGGGACCUGCGUACCAUCAGCUAGUUGGUGAGGUAACGGCCCACCAAGGCGAUGACGGUUAGGGGACCUGAGAGGGUGGCCCCCACAAUGGAACUGAAACACGGUCCAUACACCUACGGGUGG